rnacentral:rRNA from 1 species
GACGAACGCUGGCGGCGUGCCUAAUACAUGCAAGUUGAGCGCUGAAGGUUGGUACUUGUACCAACUGGAUGAGCAGCGAACGGGUGAGUAACGCGUGGGGAAUCUGCCUUUGAGCGGGGGACAACAUUUGGAAACGAAUGCUAAUACCGCAUAAAAACUUUAAACACAAGUUUUAAGUUUGAAAGAUGCAAUUGCAUCACUCAAAGAUGAUCCCGCGUUGUAUUAGCUAGUUGGUGAGGUAAAGGCUCACCAAGGCGAUGAUACAUAGCCGACCUGAGAGGUUGAUCGGCCACAUUGGGACUGAGACACGGCCCAAACUCCUACGGGAGGCAGCAGUAGGGAAUCUUCGGCAAUGGACGAAAGUCUGACCGAGCAACGCCGCGUGAGUGAAGAAGGUUUUCGGAUCGUAAAACUCUGUUGGUAGAGAAGAACGUUGGUGAGAGUGGAAAGCCCAUCAAGUGACGGUAACUACCCAGAAAGGGACGGCUAACUACGUG